CCUACGGGAGGCAGCAGUAGGGAAUCUUCCACAAUGGGCGCAAGCCUGACGGAGCAACACCGCGUGAGUGAAGAAGGGUUUCGGAUCGUAAAGCUCUGUUGUUGGGGAAGAACGAGUGUGAGAGUAACUGUUCACGCCGUGACGGUAUCCAACCAGAAAGUCACGGCUAACUACGUGCCAGCAGCCGCGGUAAUACGUAGGUGGCAAGCAUUAUCCGGAUUUAUUGGGCGUAAAGCGGGCGGAGGCGGUUUUUUAGGUCUGAUGUGAAAGCCCUCGGCUCAACCGAAGAAGGGCAUUGGAAACCGGGCGACUUGAGUGCAGAAGAGGACAGUGGAACUCCAUGUGUAGCGGUGAAAUGCGUAGAUAUAUGGAAGAACACCAGUGGCGAAGGCGGCUGUCUGGUCUGCAACUGACGCUGAGGCGCGAAAGCGUGGGUAGCAAACAGGAUUAGAUACCCUAGUAGUC
rnacentral:rRNA from 1 species